AGCGAACGCUGGCGGCAGGCCUAACACAUGCAAGUCGAACGAAGUCUUCGGACUUAGUGGCGGACGGGUGAGUAACACGUGGGAACGUGCCUUUAGGUUCGGAAUAACUCAGGGAAACUUGUGCUAAUACCGAAUGUGCCCUUCGGGGGAAAGAUUUAUCGCCUUUAGAGCGGCCCGCGUCUGAUUAGCUAGUUGGUGAGGUAAAGGCUCACCAAGGCGACGAUCAGUAGCUGGUCUGAGAGGAUGAUCAGCCACAUUGGGACUGAGACACGGCCCAAACUCCUACGGGGGGCAGCAGUGGGGAGUCUUGGGCAAUGGGCGAAAGCCUGACGCAGCCAUGCCGCGUGAAUGAUGAAGGUCUUAGGAUUGUAAAAUUCUUUCACCGGGGACGAUAAUGACGGUACCCGGAGAAGAAGCCCCGGCUAACUUCGUGCCAGCAGCCGCAGUAACAC
rnacentral:rRNA from 1 species